UCAUUCAUGGGGAGGAAGUUUGUUUUUAAAAUGUUUUAACAUGGAAAGUGCAUUUUCCAACUGUAAAUACACACACCUGUAUGCACCAGGUGUUGAGGAAGAGGAUGAGGAGCUGGUUGCAGUCAAUGUGGAGAAUUUCCAACACACAGCAAUGUAAAAUUAAUUUUUGAGUGUGGCAUUCCAAUGUUUUCAUUGUGCAACAUUGCUGGGAGGAGAUGAACAUUACACUACCUGACAUAGUAGCAAACCUGUCACUUCCUAUUGAUCACAAAAGAGUCAGCAGGUUCAAGAUCUCAAGGGCUAAUGUCUGGGAUGCAGCAGUCAGAGGUUUCAAGCGUGCAACAUAUUCUGAAACCUGUGACAUGCUGGUCAGAUUUACUGAUGACGCUGGUGUUUUUGAGGAGGAAAUUGACACAGGUGGUCCAAGACGGAAAUUCUUAACUCUGCUAAUGAAACACCUGAAAGAUCGGCCCAUUUUUGAUGGACUAGAAGGACGGGGGUUCUUGGUUUACAAUGCACAUGAUUGAGAAUGCUGCUUCACUGAAUGCUCUGCAGGAAUGUAUCAUGACACACAGCACCAUGUUGCAAACAGCAGGCUGUUUGAGACGUGACUGCUCUGGAUGAAAAGAAAGAAAUUGUGGCAGACUACCUCCAAUGGUAUAUUAUUGGCCACAACUCAUCUGUAAUUGACAGGUAAGAUUAUAAUUUUAGUGAUCUUUCUUUUUUUUAAUGUAUUAGUGUAUGUAAUUUUAGUUUGAGAUGCCUCA